CCUUGUGGUCUGGGGUGCUUUAAUCGGCUGAGAAAUACCCAUGGAACCUGAUGCAGUCAGUACUGCCGCAGGAAGACCGUUUUUAGCUCAA
rnacentral:ncRNA from 2 species